UGGACAUUUACGGUCGCACAUGAGAAUCCACACAGGAGAGAAAUGAUUCAGCUGCAGUGUUUGUAACGAGAUUUACCUGGCGUUCUGAUGUCAAAACACAUAAAUGUGUUUGUAGUGAUGAUAUAACGCAACGUAUAUGAAACGACAGUCUAUAUGAAUGCUGAACUGGGGUGAGGCGUCAGCAUACAGUUAGUACAAGUAGUGGUCUAGUUUAUUGAUGAGCUAUACAACCGAUGUACGUUCUGCCAUUAUGGCCAUACAGCUUUUCUAUUAUGUAAUUAUCUAUUCACCAAAGUUAUGUUUUGUAUUCCUGGAAGUCACUUAUUACCACAAAUGUAUACAUUUUAUAUUGUACAUACAUUUAACUUCUGUACUAUUUUCUAUCCUAGAUUUUCUACAUUUUUUAUAUUUAAUAAUCAUUGUUGGAGCAAGCCAAGGGGUAUAAUGACUGCUACUUUGUGAUUGUUGUGCACAUGAUAAUUAAUGACUAACAAAAAUGUAAAUGCAUUCCCUGCAGAUAAUGCAAGUGAAAGCUGAAAAUUGCUUUCCCCAAACCCAAGUCUUACAGCAGGUUCCUAUUGGCAAAUUGGAGGAAAAGUGAUGGGAAUCUAGAAAAAUAUCUCCAUAUUUCUAUGGGAAUGGUUUCUGUUUCGCUUUCAAGGAGUUUGAAAUAAAUGUUCAUGUA